rnacentral:lncRNA from 1 species
GGUUAGGGGAGCCUUAAUGGGAAAGAGGUGGGGGGGACGUUACAGACCACAGGGGAAGAAGGAGAAACUCAGUCACGGCCACAACUGCUUGUGCCAUUUGAGAGCCUAAGAAGAGCUGAGCCAUACCUCACAGGGCUGUGAAGAGAAUACAGCUCAAGAACUUCCAGCAGAGAGGAGGUCAUUUCCAUGGGCAGUGGCUGGCUUGCCGUGGCUUAGAAAGGAAAAGGUCCCGAGAUCCUCCAGAAGCUUAUGUCCCUCGAUUUGGGAAUCUUGCUGGCUCCAGAACAAUGGAAAACAGAAACACCCACACACACCCAGAGAACAAGGCGGAGGCUCCAACAGUCCAAUCAAGUUCUGGCCUGAGUUCCACCAAAAAGAAGACAGAUCUGGAGGCCGCUGUCGCAGCCGGUCAGAAUGGACGUGCAGAUGCCACUGAAAGGGACAGCAGAAAGAAGCCUGCAGCUCCCAGAGGACCAGAGAAGGAACCCCGACACACAGCGUCAUCCCAGGAGAGGUCAGGGGAGCCUCAGACCCAGGAGCAGAGGCCCUCAGCAAGAUCAAAGACAACCCAGGAUGGGCCAAGGGAGCUGCAAACUGGCCAGGAGCAAGCACGGCCUAGUGGGGAUUUUGUGGCCUCUGAAGGGCGGCCACAGCCAGCCAUGCAGACCAAGGACCAGCAGAAGAGAUGGCAGAGUGCCGAGGCCAAAGACGUUCAAUCUACUGAGAGCUGCCAGGGAAACACAGAUCAUGAUCUGGGGAAGCCAUGCACCUCAGAUAGCAGGAGUCACCCACAGAAGACUA